rfam:Tropilaelaps mercedesae isolate Wuxi-XJTLT scaffold0000018933, whole genome shotgun sequence.
GGAAAUGUAGCUCAAAUGAUAGAGCGCUUGAUUAGCAUGCGAGAGAUACUGAGAUCGAUACCCAGCAUCUCCG